rnacentral:lncRNA from 1 species
AUUAUAUCAAUAAGUUAUUUACAAGUUAUACAUUGGUUUACGUGUGAGUACCUAUAUUGCUGAAGGAACAUAAAACAAUGACUAUUAGCCCUACUUUUAAUGAUACAAAAAGUUUCAAGAACUGCAGCAUUGGUAGCAUUUAACCUGAAAUGAUAUGGGUUUGCUUCAAGAAAGGAAGAUACAUUGCCGUGCUCUAGAUGUAAAUGAACCAUGCCGUAUUUCAUCAGUGAAGAAACUUCAUGUACAAUAGCAUACAAAAUUACACAUGAAAGAUGAAAGAAUGACAACUCUGGAGAAUGAAGGUUUCAGUUAAUCUCUAUACUGGGCAAUAAACAGGCAACAGAUGUUUGCAGAAGUAUCCACCUCCACACCAACUCCAAAAGCAUUACGGUUGAAAUACAGUCACUAAACUGUAACAAUGACACAAAAAAGCAACAGGAACUGAGCAGCAGUUGCAUUGUCAGUAAAAGUCCAUGCCGUGAGUUCAUGAGUUUAGAGCUUUCUAGCUGUUUUGGUAACACAAUGGCAGGAAGCCAGUUCUUUAAGCGAG